AAUCAACGCUGGCGGCGUGCCUCAGACAUGCAAGUCGAACGAUUAAAGCUCUCUUCGGAGAGUGUAUAGAGUGGCGCACGGGUGAGUAACACGUAAGUAAUCUACCUUCGAGUGGGAAUAACGUCCGGAACGGACGCUAAUACCGCAUAAUGCAGCGGCAUCGCAAGAUGACAGUUGUUAAAGAUUUAUCGCCUGAAGAGGAGCUUGCGGCAGAUAGCUAGUUGGUAAGGUAAUGGCUUACCAAGGCUACGAUCUGUAACCGGUCUAAGAGGACGGUCGGUCACACUGACACUGAAUAACGGGUCAGACUCCUACGGGAGGCAGCAGUCGGGAAUUUUGGGCAAUGGGCGAAAGCCUGACCCAGCAACGCCGCGUGAAGGAUGAAGU
rnacentral:rRNA from 1 species